rnacentral:rRNA from 1 species
UACGUAGGGUGCGAGCGUUGUCCGGAAUUACUGGGCGUAAAGAGCUCGUAGGUGGUUUGUCGCGUUGUUCGUGAAAUCUCACGGCUUAACUGUGAGCGUGCGGGCGAUACGGGCAGACUAGAGUACUGCAGGGGAGACUGGAAUUCCUGGUGUAGCGGUGGAAUGCGCAGAUAUCAGGAGGAACACCGGUGGCGAAGGCGGGUCUCUGGGCAGUAACUGACGCUGAGGAGUGAAAGCGUGGGGAGCGAACAGGAUUAGAUACCCUGGUAGUCCACGCCGUAAACGGUGGGUACUAGGUGUGGGUUUCCUUCCUUGGGAUCCGUGCCGUAGCUAACGCAUUAAGUACCCCGCCUGGGGAGUACGGCCGCAAGGCUAAAACUC